CUGGAUUAUAACUACCACAGUGGGUUACAGUUUCUGUUUGAAUGCACAUGCUGUUCUAUGCCUUCUUGUCCAUGUAAGUUCACCUUGAGUGGAUACAUCUCCGUCUGGAGAGCACUCCCAAUCAGGGCCAUAGCCAGAUGUGAGGUCACCAAGACACUCAAGUCUCUCCUCGGAUCUCUGCAUGUCUUCCAGACAUCUCAUCAUGGAUGACAGCUCCAUCAUCUGAAAUUCAACUCCAGCAAAAGAAAGACUUGCACCUAGACUGUUUUCUGUUUUGGCACCUAUGUGAUGGAAUGAACUUCUCCUAGAUGUCCGAACAGCUGAGGCUUUGGGGGUCUUCAAACGACAACUAAAAAUCGACCUCUUUCAGAAGUACUUGGAUGAGCACUUUCAAGAUUAUGCUCUUAUUUAAAAAAAUUGUACUACAUUCCAAAAGAAUUUUUAGAGUGAAAGUAUUCUUAGCCGGGUUCUGUUGAACCAGUAUCAGAAUGCAUUCACUGAUGAGAUUAAGCAGUUAUGUAAGUUGCUUUGGCUAAAUGAAUAUAUGGGUACCAACUUCACGCAGGUAUUUGAAACAAAAUGAGACGCAUAAGUUAAGAACUAUUGUAGAGCUUGAUGAAAUCGCUUUUGAAAUUUAAAGGGGGGGUCAUAUGAUAGUUUGUAUGGUUUUUGUUUCCCUCUGGAGAAAAUAAGAAAUAAGAGACAGGAGAUAUAAGUCAUAGACUCAUUUUGCUUUCCCAUACAGCUCUUUUGAGAACUACUUUCAGAUUUUUUCCCUUAUAUAUAAACUUAUAUAAACAGAAAAAAGCAAACAACAAACAAACCAAAUGACAACCAAUAUAAGAAAAUAAUCAAAUACAUAUCCUUCAACAAUGGCAGGCCAAGUAGAAGUUCUGGAGAGGAUGUUAUUUCUCGAAUAACAUAAAAAACCACCCCAGAUAAGAUUUUUACAUCAGGCUAUUUAUGGCUGAGACUGUUACAAUAAGGAACUGAAACUGGCUGCACUGAAAGAUCUUGAAAACAAGAUAAAUGACAUAUGGACCGGAAAUAGAGCUGUGACAUUUUAUAUAGUGUUAGUGUAAUUCUCUAUGGCAGGAGUGUACAAAGCCCUACAAUACGAUGAAAAUAAAAAUAAAAUAUAUAUUUUUGCAUAUCAUACAUUGAAAUUAGUACAAUGUUAGACACUAAAUCUGGCAUGUGAAUUUUAGGACACUAAAUUAUUGGUUUGAAAAGAAACUUCACCUUCAUCGUUUUCUAAGGUGCAUUGGGCGUUACUGUGAAUAUCUUUUUCAUUGAAGAUGCUGGUGUGGGAAACGCUCUUUUAUUUUGUAUAAUUAUAUAAUUAUAAUUUCUGUUAUACCAUUGGUCAUAUAAUAUGAAAACCAUUUUUACAUAGAAGGUUGCUGCAACCACCUGUUUCAAGAUAAUGCCCCCAUACUCAGUACUCCGACUUGUGAGUGACUAUCUGUCUAUUUCACAUUGAAUAUUGUUUUUAUGAAUAUGAAACAGAAAUAUGUAGUGAUGCACAAUAUAUCAUUUAUCAUAUCGGUAUUAGCCGAUAUUUGUUAAAAAUCAAGAUACCAGUCCAAUGUGUCAGUCUUGGCCAAUAUUGCCAGGCAAUAUUUAAACUAUAUCAAUAUUCAAAGUUAUGAACACUAGAGCUAAAGACACAAGAGCUGAAACAGGUCAAUCUUUGAUAGCAGAACAGAACUCAUUUCCAAAUGCAAGAAAUGCUAAACAUAAACUUUAACCUCAUCUACUCUUUAUUUUAUUUAUUUAUUUAUUU